rnacentral:rRNA from 1 species
UACGUAGGGUGCAAGCGUUGUCCGGAAUUAUUGGGCGUAAAGAGCUCGUAGGCGGUUUGUUGCGUCGGCUGUGAAAUCCCGAGGCUCAACCUCGGGUCUGCAGUCGAUACGAGCAAACUAGAGUGUUGCAGGGGAGACUGGAAUUCCUGGUGUAGCGGUGAAAUGCGUAGAUAUCGGGAGGAACACCAGAGGCGAAAGCGGCUUUCUGGGCUGUAACUGACGCUGAGGCGGCGAAGGCUAGGGGAGCAAACAGG